UCUCCGGUGACUUCUUCGUCGCCACCCCCCGAUUCUCCCUUGGCGAUUCCUCCUUCUAUUGUUCCAUCUUUUCCUCAGCAUUACACUCGUCGUUCACGACCUGUGGAUGUCUCUUUGGAUGAGUCGUCCUCUUCCACUCAGCCUACUUAUGGCUUGCGUUCUCGUCCUCGUCCGCCUGUUGAUCGCUUUGGAUUUCCCACUGCUGGUGCUGCUGUUCUUGAGCCGACUUCUUAUCGUCAGGCUGUUGUUCAUCCUGAAUGGCAGUUUGCGAUGGCAGAGGAGAUUGCUGCUCUUGAACGCACUGGUACCUGGGAUCUUGUUUCUCUUCCUCCCGGAGUCCGUCCCAUCACUUGUAAGUGGGUCUACAAGGUUAAGACUCGCUUCGAUGGUUCUCUUGAGCGUCACAAAGCUCGUCUUGUGGCUCGUGGUUUUCAGCAGGAGCAUGGUCGUGAUUAUGACGAGACUUUUGCUCCUGUGGCCCAUAUGACCACUGUUCGUACACUUCUUGCUGUUGCCUCU
rnacentral:rRNA from 1 species